CAUCGCUCUGUCUUUGGGGUCUUCUUGUCCAGCAGCCUGAGCGUCCUGAGCUCCGUCUCUGUCCACGCAGGGCUCCGGAUACUCCUCAGGGCCAUUGUUCCAAUACACACCAACUUGUGAGGACCUGCUACUACUUUGAAMCAAAGCCCAGACCUCGACCCUGGAGAGCACACACACCAUGUUCUUAUGUGGUCAAAAAGCGCUCCAGGCGGUCAAGAGGAACGACGCUGUGGCGCGAAAUAAGACAGUAAAGCUCUGCUGAAAGGAGGACAAAAGGAAAGAGUCGUCCUUUUGUCUCUGUAGCUGCGGGACGUUAACCUUUAAGACUCUGCUGUUUUGACCUUUUAWCCAAACCGCUGACGCAAUCUGCCCCAGUUGGUGGAUGACCUUACUUUGAUGGAGAGACCAYGGUCCGUUUCCACCAAGCAGAGUCGCAAACCAAACCAGGAGCUGCAACUGAAGAAAUAAUUACAGUAAAAGAGAACAAGCUAAUGUUUAAAACACUGAUCGGUUCACUGACUGAACAUCACAUCUU